rnacentral:rRNA from 1 species
GAUGAACGCUGGCGGCGUGCCUAAUACAUGCAAGUCGAGCGAAUGGAUUAAGAGCUUGCUCUUAUGAAGUUAGCGGCGGACGGGUGAGUAACACGUGGGUAACCUGCCCAUAAGACUGGGAUAACUCCGGGAAACCGGGGCUAAUACCGGAUAACAUUUUGAACCGCAUGGUUCGAACUUGAAAGGCGGCUUCGGCUGUCACUUAUGGAUGGACCCGUGUCGCAUUAGCUAGUUGGUGAGGUAACGGCUCACCAAGGCAACGAUGGGUAGCCGACCUGAGAGGGUGAUCGGCCACACUGGGACUGAGACACGGCCCAGAAUCCUACGGGAGGCAGCAGUAGGGAAUCUUCCGCAAUGGACGAAAGUCUGACGGAGCAACGCCGCGUGAGUGAUGAAGGCUUUCGGGUCGUAAAACUCUGUUGUUAGGGAAGAACAAGUGCUAGUUGAAUAAGCUGGCACCUUGACGGUACCUAACCAGAAAGCCACGGCUAACUACGUGCCAGCCGCCGCCGUAA